AUGGGAACGCGAAGAACCUUACCUAGACUUGACAUCUCCUGAAUAGUGUAGAGAUACAUGAAGCCCUUCGGGGCAGGAAGACAGGUGGUGCAUGGUUGUCGUCAGCUCGUGUCGUGAGAUGUUGGGUUAAGUCCCGCAACGAGCGCAACCCUUAUUACUAGUUGCUACCAUUAAGUUGAGCACUCUAGUGAGACUGCCCGGGUUAACCGGGAGGAAGGCGGGGAUGACGUCAAAUCAUCAUGCCCCUUAUGUCUAGGGCAACACACGUGCUACAAUGGUGAGUACAGAUAGAUGCGAUACCGCAAGGUGGAGCCAAACUCUAAAACUCAUCCCAGUUCGGAUUGUAGGCUGCAACUCGCCUACAUGAAGUUGGAGUUGCUAGUAAUCGCGAAUCAGAAUGUCGCGGUGAAUACGUCCCGGGUCUUGUACACACCG
rnacentral:rRNA from 1 species